UAGGGAAUCUUCCGCAAUGGGCGAAAGCCUGACGGAGCAACGCCGCGUGAGUGAUGAAGGUCUUCGGAUCGUAAAGCUCUGUUGUUAGGGAAGAACAUAUGUGUAAGUAACUGUGCACAUCUUGACGGUACCUAACCAGAAAGCCACGGCUAACUACGUG
rnacentral:rRNA from 1 species